rnacentral:tRNA from 1 species
GAUAGAGACAGGAUUUAAACCCAUGUUAACAGGACUACAGCCCGCCACAUAAGMURUCGAGCCACUCUACCU